rnacentral:lncRNA from 1 species
AGUACGAAGAUCAACAUUGAGCAUACAAUAUAAGAAUUACAUUUAUACUCCCUCCGUCCCAAAAAUAUGUUUGUUUUCUAUGUAAUUUUCAUUGAAAAUGGUACUCAUUCUUCUGGAUGGUGGGAGUACAAAUUUUAAUAAAAGCAGCCUUGCAGCAUUAGUCUACAACGCAUACCAGUGUGCAUGUCUAGGGAGCUUCCACUUUCGGCUAUUAUCCACAGGACCUAUAAUGUUGUCUACAAUCAUGCUAUUGCAAUAUUAUUUCG